rnacentral:lncRNA from 1 species
AUAUGGAUACAUUAUUUGCAGUUAACUUCAAGCACAUUUUCCUUCACAGUGGUGGAUGAUUAGAAUGUUUGCAAACCUCUUUUUUAAAGAACUCAUUCACCAUAUGGCCCUCCCACUAUAGUAGUUAUUUUAUGACAUAGAAACUAGGAAGUGGAAGUAAAGGCUAGUGAAUCAGCCAGCAGUCUUUCCUCAGCAUGGAUUGCCGUAAUCUCAUACAACAGGAGAAAUUAAGCCCAUUUAUGCCUAACAAACUCCACUUCCCUCAACACACCAUCAAUGAUAGAAAACAAAUAAGUUUGAUGUUGAUGCAAGUAUCCCACACAGUUUGCCUGUGAACAUACCUGCUAAAUGUAUCUGCUUCCUUGCAAAUAUAAAAGAGUCAUCCCAGAACAAGUGGUCUUAGUUGCCAUAGAAACAAGUUCUUCUGGCUGAUGUCAGCCUACUAUAGCAACUAGGAAGUGAAAAUUCAUUCACAGAAUCAGAGCCAUAAGUACUAACUCAGCUACAUAUACCCUAGCCCAAUUCAAGAGAGACACACAGAAAGAAUAUGAGAAGGCAACCAAGGAAAUACACUAGAGGGCAAAGCUUUUUAAACAGUGGACUAGAGAUAGAGUAUAUGGUGGUAAAAAAAAAAAAUUCUAUCCAUCCAACAUAGACAUUGUUUGCUUUCCCAUCCCAUGAAAACCUUAGAACUGGCAAUAACACAUGCUGGUGCUAAAAGUGAUCUCAUAGGCCACACACUCCAAAUCCAUAUCCACUCCCCAGGUGCCAUUUUGUGAAACCAAUAAUUAAGUAACGAGAGAAUAAAUUCAUAUGUGACACAUUUGUGUAUACCUUUUGUAAACCCUGUGUACUAUAAUAAAGUGUUUGUCAGGUUCUGAAUUCCAUACCAGGAAGACAAAACCAUAAACUCAUAAAAAUGGUGUCACUUGGGACUCCUGAUUUCUGAUGCUAGCAUUCAGUGAUUCCCAUUAAUUCUUGCUUCAGCUAAAAAAAUUUUCUUCUAAGACAAAACAAUGAAUCCAGUCAUCAGGGAAAGAUUUUCAGCUGGUUCACAAGAUUAACAUAUUUCUGUGACACUUCUCCCAUCUGUACUUCUUCAGAGGCAGAACCUCAAACCAUAUCCCUAUUUCUUACGUGCCUCACAAUACUGUGUAUGAAUGGUUGCAUGAAUAAUUGAAUGAAAUGUCAAUUAAGCUGUUAGAAGAUGAAAUUAAAAAAGAAAACAGAAGCUCAGAAAUUUAUGUCUAUUUUCCUCUUAUACAGCAUCCCAUGUAGAGAUGUUGUAGUCACAACUAUCCCAAGGUCUGUCAUGAGGCAAGGUAAGUCUGCAUAGGUGGGAAGCUCAAUAAUUCAUGGUCAAAUUGGAAUAACAUUAGGAGAUGAUAACUUAGUGAAGAUGAGUCUCCCAGGUUUAGGGGAAGGCAAACCAGAUACUAAGGUACUGUCAGGACGAAAGAAUGCAGAUCAAUAUUUAAAGAAAUUCACAUGAAGAUGGCAGGAGAGGAAAAUGCUUCCUCACAAUAGAAACAAAUUUGAAUAAUGUGCUCUGUACUCUAAUCUCCACAAGAAGAUAAAUUUGAGCCUGUCACAUUUGGGGAUUUGCAUUCCUCAGGCAAUACUAAAACCUCCACACUGCUAAUUGAUAAUGAGGCUAUGAGUUAAGUAUCUUAAAUAUAUAUCAUGUUAAGAUUAAAAAUAAAAUAAAAUCUCAGGGAGGAAGAACUCGACAGACACAUUAUCACAGUACACAGGUAAAAAUAGCUCCUGUCACACUGUGGUCAAUUGGUUUAGGAGACAGAGAUGCCAUAUGACACAUUUCUUGCUGGGAUUAAUAAGCAAAGCAAGAGGACUCUUCUAUGAACGGUUCUAGGGAAUCUAAAAAAAGAAGUGACCACAUUCCCCACUGGAUUAACAAGAGAAGGGCCAGUAUGGGCCAGAUUUAUACCUGUAGCCAAACUAACUGAAGAUAUUCAACAGUCUCUUAGUAAAGAGAACAAUAUCAAGACCACAUUCUAACCUCUGUGAUUUUCCAGAAAGGCAACAUUGUAGGGUUGUUUUAAGGUUGAGUUGUUCAAAUGAGUGCCACUCCAAAGGACAGAUGUGGGUUUGAUUUGCAGCUCUACCUCUAUUAUACGAAAUUGAAGAGCAGAGGCCAUUGAGACUUUCAUAAUUGUAGUUUCCUUAUCUGCCAUAUGAUGGUUUUAACAGC